GACGAACGCUGGCGGCGUGCUUAACACAUGCAAGUCGAACGGAAAGGCCCUGCUUUUGUGGGGUGCUCGAGUGGCGAACGGGUGAGUAACACGUGAGUAACCUGCCCUUGACUUUGGGAUAACUUCAGGAAACUGGGGCUAAUACCGGAUAGGAGCUCCUGCUGCAUGGUGGGGGUUGGAAAGUUUCGGCGGUUGGGGAUGGACUCGCGGCUUAUCAGCUUGUUGGUGGGGUAGUGGCCUACCAAGGCUUUGACGGGUAGCCGGCCUGAGAGGGUGACCGGCCACAUUGGGACUGAGAUACGGCCCAGACUCCUACGGGAGGCAGCAGUGGGGAAUAUUGCACAAUGGGCGGAAGCCUGAUGCGGCAACGCCGCGUGCGGGAUGACGGCCUUCGGGUUGUAAACCGCUUUCGCCUGUGACGAAGCGUGAGUGACGGUAAUGGGUAAAGAAGCACCGGCUAACUACGUG
rnacentral:rRNA from 1 species